rnacentral:rRNA from 1 species
CGAAUGCUGACAUAAGUAACGAUAAAGCGGGUGAAAAGCCCGCUCGCCGGAAGACCAAGGGUUCCUGUCCAACGUUAAUCGGGGCAGGGUGAGUCGACCCCUAAGGCGAGGCCGAAAGGCGUAGUCGAUGGGAAACAGGUUAAUAUUCCUGUACUUGGUGUUACUGCGAAGGGGGGACGGAGAAGGCUAUGUUGGCCGGGCGACGGUUGUCCCGGUUUAAGCGUGUAGGCUGGUUUUCCAGGCAAAUCCGGAAAAUCAAGGCUGAGGCGUGAUGACGAGGCACUACGGUGCUGAAGCAACAAAUGCCCUGCUUCCAGGAAAAGCCUCUAAGCAUCAGGUAACAUCAAAUCGUACCCCAAACCGACACAGGUGGUCAGGUAGAGAAUACCAAGGCG